AUUGAACGCUGGCGGCAUGCCUUACACAUGCAAGUCGAACGGUAACAGGUUAAGCUGACGAGUGGCGAACGGGUGAGUAAUGUAUCGGAACGUGCCCAGUCGUGGGGGAUAACUACUCGAAAGAGUGGCUAAUACCGCAUACGACCUGAGGGUGAAAGCGGGGGACCGUAAGGCCUCGCGCGAUUGGAGCGGCCGAUAUCAGAUUAGCUAGUUGGUGGGGUAAAAGCCCACCAAGGCGACGAUCUGUAGCUGGUCUGAGAGGACGACCAGCCACACUGGGACGGAGACACGGCCCAGACUCCUACGGGAGGCAGCAGUGGGGAAUUUUGGACAAUGGACGCAAGUCUGAUCCAGCCAUGCCGCGUGCGGGAAGAAGGCCUUCGGGUUGUAAACCGCUUUUGUACGGAACGAAAAGACUCCUUCUAAUAAAGGGGGUCCAUGACGGUACCGUAAGAAUAAGCACCGGCUAACUACGUGCCAGCCGCCGCCGUAAGAC
rnacentral:rRNA from 1 species